CUCAUUCUCCCAUGGAAAACUAAUUUUCUUUCCUUGUUUUCUUUUCAUUUCUUUUCUCUUCUUGCUUCAUUCUUCUCCCAACUUCUUAUGCACCAAAGUUAUAACUUUUAACCCCAAUUUCCACCACAUAUAAACUCGAGGAGAAGAAGAAAGAAAAAGAGAGAAAAGAAGAAAAAGCUUGGUUUUGGUGAUUCAAGCAAGGAACGGUAAAAAUUCUUGUUUUUGGCUUGAGUGGUCUUUGAAAAUGAGUUAGUGACUUGGAGAAAUCUUUUGUGGCAGCAAAGAUUGGCUUGAUUGGAGAAAAAUUGAUAACAUGUAAGCCAAUAAACCUAUGGGUACAUGAAGGACUCAAAGUGGAAAAAGAAAACGGUAAGCUUAACACUAUGUUUUAAAGCCUACGGUUAUUUGAAUAUUGUGGAAAAUUAUGGUUGUUGAAAGGAUCUACUUGCAUAAGCUAGUUGAAAAUUGUUAAGAUUGUAUGGCAUGUCAUUUAAAAGAAAUGAAAAAGGAAUAUUGUGGAUGGAGGAUUGAGAAACAAAGUAUUGAAAGUUAGAUAGAUGACGAUGCGUGUAAACUAGGAAAUAAUCGAGUGAAAGUGAGAAUGAUUGUUGCUGCCACAUAUGUGGAUUAUGUGUGGAAAUAUAAGAUGGAUUUGGGUGGAAAUUAUUUAGAAAUGCUGAAGUAGACACGUGACAUCAUAAUUAAGUUGCCGAUGACAUAAUUUAAGGAAUUACGUAUGCAAUGGAUAUAAGUAAUUGUAGUAAAAAUGUAUUAAGAUGUGAGUUAAUUGAAGAUGGUUUCAUGAUAAGAGGAAAAAUAUAAAUUUGAGUAAGGAUUAAUUGAUUGAAGUGCUACUCGUAUACAUAUGUAAUUAAAUAUAUUGAGUUCAUAUUAUUGCAAGGAAGUGCAAAGAUAAAGUUAGAGUAUUGUGGGGGCGUGCCAGAGUAAAUAAUGAGCGACCAGCCAGUGAAAAUAGUUAGAGACAGCUCCGAACAAAUAACAGCUUAAUAUCUCAUUGUAGCCAAGUGAGUGAACUUGCAUUAAAAUGUUUUGGAAUAAAUGAUUUUAUUCUUGAUUGAGGCACUUGAAAUAUUUUGUUGGUUUUUCUUUAAAAGUUGCAUGGGAAUAAGCCCUUGAUGAAAUGUUUUGAUAUUAUGAGGUAUGAACAUGAUGAAUUCAUGAGUUUCUACAUUAUGUUGACGUGUAUAUUAUACAGUAAAUGAUAUUUUUGUGUGAUAAUUAUGACUCAGCCAUGUGUGGUGUAGGAGUGCACAUGAGCAGUGCUGACCCAGCCAUGUUCGGAGUAUGAGUGCACAUGAGCUGUGCUGACUCGACUAUGUGCGGUGUGGUAGUGCACAUAAGCUGAGAUAGAGUUGGGGACGAGGCCAGUGGUUAUAUAUAUGUUUAUAUAUGAUAUAUAUAUAUAUAUAGAGGUUUUGGAAAUUAUAUUAUGGUUGCAUUGAUUUUUGAAUGUUAAAACUUGAGAAACGGUUUCCACUUGAUUUUCACUGCAGCAAAGACAGAUUUCCGUUGUGACAAGAAAUUGAGUUAAAUUGCAUUGUCUUUAACAUAAAUGCAUCAUGAUUUCUAAAACCUUUCGUAUUGAUGCUUGUUCCCUUCCUAUGUUCACUCAUUGAGUUUAUACUCAUGUUUUUAAAAUUCAUGUUUUAGGUUUCCUGAGUUAAAGGUGAUUGGAUCCUAGGACGAGGUGCUCCUCCCUAUCCAUUGUUUGGUAGGUUUAACGUGGCACUAAAUGUUAUCAAUCAUGCCCAGAGUCACUCCGCUGACGAUCAAGGUUUAAUCAUGUGUAUAUGAAUACUUGGUGUGAAAUACUAAGAAUCAUUUGUUAAUCUAUAUAUGAAUAUAAUGGUUGAUGAUACCAUUAUGAAUCAUGGUUGGGUUUUAUGAAUUGUUUUCAAAGGAACGGUAUUUGAACAUUACGAAUUUUGGAUUCUAAAGGAUUAGGGAUUAAUGUAUAAGAUCAAUUUAGUAGGCUUGCUUGGG
rnacentral:lncRNA from 1 species